CCUACGGGCGGCAGCAGUGGGGAAUAUUGGGCAAUGGGCGCAAGCCUGACCCAGCAACGCCGCGUGAAGUCAGAAGGCUUUCGGGUUGUAAACUUCUUUUCUCAGGGACGAAGAAAGUGACGGUACCUGAGGAAUAAGCCACGGCUAACUACGUGCCAGCAGCCGCGGUAAUCCGUAGGUGGCAAGCGUUCUCCGGAUUUACUGGGUGUAAAGGGCUUGUAGGCGGGGAAGCAAGUCAGAUGUGAAAACCACGGGCUCAACCUUUGGCCUGCAUUUGAAACUGUUUGUCUUGAGUACUGGAGAGGCAGACGGAAUUCCUAGUGUAGCGGUGAAAGGCGUAGAUAUUAGGAGGAACACCAGUGGCGAAGGCGGUCUGCUGGACAGCAACUGACGCUGAGGCGCGAAAGCGUGGGGAGCAAACAGGAUUAGAUACCCCUGUAGUC
rnacentral:rRNA from 1 species